UACGUAGGGCGCAAGCGUUGUCCGGAAUUAUUGGGCGUAAAGAGCUCGUAGGCGGUUUGUUACGUCGGCUGUGAAAACCCGGGGCUCAACCCCGGGCCUGCAGUCGAUACGGGCAAACUAGAGUCCGGUAGGGGAGACUGGAAUACCUGGUGUAGCGGUGAAAUGCGCAGAUAUCAGGUGGAACACCGGUGGCGAAGGCGGGUCUCUGGGCCGGUACUGACGCUGAGGAGCGAAAGCGUGGGGAGCGAACAGG
rnacentral:rRNA from 2 species